rnacentral:rRNA from 1 species
UACGGGGGGAGCAAGCGUUGUUCGGAUUUACUGGGCGUAAAGGGCGCGUAGGCGGCGCAACAAGUCACUUGUGAAAUCUCCGGGCUUAACCCGGAGCGGUCAAGUGAUACUGUCGUGCUAGAGUGCGGAAGGGGCUACUGGAAUUCUCGGUGUAGCGGUGAAAUGCGUAGAUAUCGGAAGGAACACCAGUGGCGAAAGCGGCUUCCUGGUCCAGCACCGACGUUCAGGCACGAAAGCGUGGGGAGCAAACAGG